rnacentral:rRNA from 1 species
AGAUUGAACGCUAGCGGGAUGCUUUACACAUGCAAGUCGAACGGCAGCGCGGACUUCGGUCUGGCGGCGAGUGGCGAACGGGUGAGUAAUAUAUCGGAACGUGCCCAGUAGCGGGGGAUAACUACGCGAAAGCGUGGCUAAUACCGCAUACGCCCUACGGGGGAAAGGGGGGAUUCUUCGGAACCUCUCACUAUUGGAGCGGCCGAUAUCAGAUUAGCUAGUUGGUGAGGUAAAGGCUCACCAAGGCGACGAUCUGUAGCUGGUUUGAGAGGACGACCAGCCACACUGGGACUGAGACACGGCCCAGACUCCUACGGGAGGCAGCAGUGGGAAUUUGGACAAUGGGGGAAACCCUGAUCCAGCCAUCCCGCGUGUGCGAUGAAGGCCUUCGGUUGUAAAGCACUUUGGCAGGAAGAAACGGCGUGCCCGUAAUACGGAACGUCGACUGACGGUACCUGACAGAAAUAAGACACCGGACUAACGACGUGCCAGCAGCCGC